rnacentral:miRNA from 1 species
CUCAGCCCUACCGCACCGGGACC